rnacentral:SRP_RNA from 2 species
GUGUGCUAAGCGGGGAGGUAGCGGUUCCUUUGUCCGUUCUGCGGGCUGCCUGCAAUCCGCUUCAGCAGGGCCGAACUCCUGAGCGAAGGCUUGACGGCAAAAUGCAGGCGCCGACGGAAAAGCGUUGAAGUUCGGGCCCCGCGGGGCGCGCGCCGGUGAACCGGGUCAGGUCCGGAAGGAAGCAGCCCUAAGCCGAUACGAGCGUUUGCGCGGGAUCACCUGGAUGGAGCCGGCCCGUCGGAAGGCCGGUUGGGCCGGAGGGUCGAAGCCAGGUGCACAC